AGUGAACGCUGGCGGUAGGCCUAACACAUGCAAGUCGAACGGCAGCACAGUAAGAGCUUGCUCUUACGGGUGGCGAGUGGCGGACGGGUGAGGAAUACAUCGGAAUCUACUUUUUCGUGGGGGAUAACGUAGGGAAACUUACGCUAAUACCGCAUACGACCUACGGCAGAAAGCAGGGGAUCUUCGGACCUUGCGCGAUUGAAUGAGCCGAUGUCGGAUUAGCUUGUUGGCGGGGUAAAGGCCCACCAAGCCGACGAGCCGUGGCUGGUCUGAGAGGAUGACCAGCAACACUGAAACUGGGACACGGUCCGGACUCCAACGGGAGGCAGCAGUGGGAAAUAUUGGAAAAGGGGCGCAGGCCUGCUCCAGCAAUACCGCGUGGGUGAGGAAGGCCGUCGGGUGGUAAAGCCCUUUUGUAGGGAAAGAAAAGCAGCAGGGUAAUACCCCGCGUUUCGGACGGUACCCAAAAAAUAAGCACCGGCUAACUUCG
rnacentral:rRNA from 1 species